GUUCGAGGCCUCGGUGACGCCGACCCGCUUCUCAGAGCACGGGGACCUGGGCCGACUGGCCGCCUUCCCUGCUGAACUACGUCAUAAUUGGAUUUGUCCCAGUAAGAUGAAGAGCAUCAACCAUGUUUUCCUUCAUCAGUAAGAAACUACUGAGUAGGAAAUUAAAGCUCAAAGGAACUGAGUUCAUCACUGUAAUAGAGCCACCAUCAUCUUUUGCCUGGACUCUUCCUAUGGCUUCCUAGUAUCCAUACGUCGCAACUAUGUAUGUAAUAAUGGUAAUGGUAACUAUUGCAAUGGUUUCCUUAUUUCCAUUAUUAACUGCCUGUAGUCUUUUCUCCACACAGUAGCCAGAGUAAUGCUUUAAAAAGGAGUAUUUUAAGAAAAGGUAAAUCAGAUAUCAAAUCUAUUCAAAACUCUCCAAUAGCUGCCCAUAAUAUUAAAAAUCUUAUCUGUGGCGAACCUCUCUGAAUUCAUGUCUAACAUUUUCCUCCUUGCUUAUUCUGCUCUGGCCACAGUGGCCACGUUAAUGUUCCCCAAAAGCCAAGUUUGUUUCUACUGCAGGAGCCCUGCACCCUUCAGUGGCCCCCUAUGUCCAGAACUCUCUAGCCCUAGAUCUUAGCCUAGUUCUUUAACUCAAAUUUCCACUAAAGUCACUUUAGAAAAGGCUUGUCUGAUCACCCUUUCUAAAACAGCUAUCCUCACA